GCGGCGUGCCUAAUACAUGCAAGUCGAGCGAAUGGAUUAAGAGCUUGCUCUUAUGAAGUUAGCGGCGGACGGGUGAGUAACACGUGGGUAACCUGCCCAUAAGACUGGGAUAACUCCGGGAAACCGGGGCUAAUACCGGAUAACAUUUUGAACCGCAUGGUUCGAAAUUGAAAGGCGGCUUCGGCUGUCACUUAUGGAUGGACCCGCGUCGCAUUAGCUAGUUGGUGAGGUAACGGCUCACCAAGGCAACGAUGCGUAGCCGACCUGAGAGGGUGAUCGGCCACACUGGGACUGAGACACGGCCCAGACUCCUACGGGAGGCAGCAGUAGGGAAUCUUCCGCAAUGGACGAAAGUCUGACGGAGCAACGCCGCGUGAGUGAUGAAGGCUUUCGGGUCGUAAAACUCUGUUGUUAGGGAAGAACAAGUGCUAGUUGAAUAAGCUGGCACCUUGACGGUACCUAACCAGAAAGCCACGGGCUAACUACGUGCCAGCAGCCGCGGUAAUACGUAGGUGGCAAGCGUUAUCCGGAAUUAUUGGGCGUAAAGCGCGCGCAGGUGGUUUCUUAAGUCUGAUGUGAAAGCCCACGGCUCAACCGUGGAGGGUCAUUGGAAACUGGGAGACUUGAGUGCAGAAGAGGAAAGUGGAAUUCCAUGUGUAGCGGUGAAAUGCGUAGAGAUAUGGAGGAACACCAGUGGCGA
rnacentral:rRNA from 1 species